UGAAGAGUGAACGGAAAUUACUUAGGCAAGGGGUUGAAUGUGCCAUGGGAUGUGGAGAAGAGCAUUCUAGGAAGAAAGGAACACUUGCAUCUUCGGAGGCCCCCAAUGUGGAGAGGAGUUUUGUUCUUUUAGGGAACUAAAAGAGUGCCGGUAGAUGAAUGAGGGGGAAGGUGAUGUGAAAUGAUGCUGGAGAAGUAAGCAGGUGUGUCAGUUUAUUCAUGUGUCCUUAUGUCUUGAUAGGGUCCUGUAGAAUUACCAGAUCUUGUUAAUUAAUGUCAAAUUGGUUUCUAGGUAGAUUCUUCAAGUUUACACUCCUAGCAUCAUUGUUUCUUCUCUCUCUCAACCUUCACCCAUGAGUGCACAGCAACCAGCAGAAUAACAGGAGGCUUGGAAUGUACUUGCUGUUAGACAGAAACUGAUGUAAGUGAAAACUUUAUCAAGCAUAUAAGAAAACCUGGGCAUUUUAUAUUGUAUAAUAAGUCUUGUGAGCUGUGUACUUUUGAG
rnacentral:lncRNA from 1 species